GCUGUGUAACUAUACUGUUUCCAUAUAGAAAGGUACGUGAAAUAACACAAUAUGAUAAUGUUUGCUUCAUGUUCACAGAACCUUAUCCCUGAAUGCAUUUUCCCACCACAACUUUGAUUAAAUAGGCGUGAGAUAUUAAAGGCUUUUUAAAUCAUGAGUCCCUCAGACUUCUUUUACAGUUCUCUACUGUGACUUUGUUUAAUCCUCAUUAUUGAUACGUUAGAUUGUGUCAUUAGAGCCCGAGCAGCGUCUGCUUGCAGCUUUAAUUUCAGGUUGUCUUGCACCUUGGUUCCUUUGUUAAUGUGGUAACUGUUGCAGUAUUUUCAUUUUUACCUAAAACGUUCAGCUCAAGCAGAACUUGACCCAAAUCGUCAAUAUCUUCUUGUGGAGUCCUCUCUCGUCCGUCUGUCUCCAUUUGCCCCUGAGCAUAGGAGUAAAUAAUGUCUUUAAAUGAUGCUGCUAGCAAAAAAAGACCAUAAGAACCAUUUCCUAAUGUUGCAUUGGUGGUUAUUUGCCUUCAUGAAACUCACCUUGUUUUGUGCAGCGGACUUCUGCAGAGUGUCUGAAACUGUGGUUUCUUAAACCCCACUGGGUCUGGAUUUGGAAGUGGGAAGAUUUUAACAACGUGUAUGCGGGUGGCAGCAAAGAUCACUGAGAGAAGAAGGAAAGAGUUAGUGCUGAGUCAACCCAUGAACUCAACAUGGCAAGAGGGAAGGAUUAUGGGAUAUGGCCAUGGAAACUGUGAGAUCUGACCCAACGUGGAAUGAGAGAGAGAGAGAGAGAGAGACAGACAGACAGAGACAGAGAGACAGAGAGAGAGGAGGCAAUGUCUUUAAAACUCAUAUCUAAGAUCUAAUCCAGGAUAUAUUUUCAUACUCACUAGCUUCUUCAGUGCCUGCAAUCCUCCGGUUUGUUGAGAUGGUCUGUGAUGACUGUCUGAGUGUUGAGUAACUUUCCUGUAUCUCUGUAGCCGUCUGUUGAUCCAGGGGUGUGUCCAGAGGGUGGUCCAAUCAUGCUAGGAAGGAAGAAAGUAAGGCUCAGCUUUGGUGGUGGAAAACUGGUACCUACAAGUCUCUUUAUGUCACUUUAUGUUCACUGAAUGCAGUUCUUUUUACUGUUUUUGAAUAUUUCUGCACACUGGGCUCCAUAAACAGUGCUGGAACUGAAUAAACUGAAAGCUGAGACUCAAACUUCCCACCCACGGUAAUAAUUUCAGACAAUGAUUAGCAGAUCUCUGGAGGAUCAGUGUCUUUUCAGGAUUUCUUCAACAAACAAAUGAAUAAAAUUAUAUAAUAAAGUGUGUUGAAAUGUGAUUUGAACUAUAAAAUGAUAUAAGUUAUGCAUGCAUAACCAAAACACUAAGGAGAGAUUCACUCUCCCGUAUAGAUACAGUGGGAGCAAUAUUUAUUUGAUCCCUUGCUGAUUUUGUAGGUUUGCCCCCAAAGAAUGGAACUGUGUAUAAUUUAAAUCAUAGGUACAUUUGAACAUUGAGAGACAGAAUAUCACAAAAUAAUCCAGAACAACAACAUCAUAUACAUUUUAUAAAUGUUUUAUCAUAUUUUCGCAUUAAAUAAGUAUUUGAUCCAUAGAACAAUAGGACUUAAUACUUGGUGGAGAAACCUUUGUUGGCAAGCACAGAGGUCAGACGUUUCUUGUAGUUUUCACCAGGUUUGCAUAGUCUGUUUUUCCUUAGAAGUAGCUGAAGUUCGUCAGUUUUAUUGCACAGCGAACGCACGUUGGAGAGGAAUAUUCCAGGUAAUGGUGUGCGAUGUCCGUGCUGGCGGCACGUUUCCCUCUCCUCCUGCAUCUCACUGCGCGGGCAAAGGUGAGGGCACCGUUGACCACAAUGUCCAAUAUUUCAACGGAAGAAAGAAGAAAAGUGGGAAACAGAUCAGCUGCGGUUGUUCUCCUGAUGUUCAUGAGCUCUUCUCUAGUGGAAAAGCUCUGGGUAUCACAGCCGAAAACUGACAACAAACAAAACAAGAAAAAACAAAGCGCACCCACACCGAGGCAACGUACGUGGCGCCAUCUUAGAUGCAAGCAGCU